rnacentral:misc_RNA from 1 species
CCGAAUUAAAUUCCGAGGCUGUAGCUGGCCAUUAAUCUGGCAUGUGCACGUCUUGGCAAUCCAAACCAUUACACCUUUGUGCACUUUAAUGUGGGAUUGAUGAGGUCAUGUGGUGCUUGCACUUGUGGCAUUGUCAUUCUCAUAUCUUCACAUAAACAUUUAGUUAUAGAAUGUUACUGCGUAAAACGCAUCUUAAUA